rnacentral:rRNA from 1 species
GGAAUAUUGCACAAUGGGCGCAAGCCUGAUGCAGCCAUGCCGCGUGUGUGAAGAAGGCCUUCGGGUUGUAAAGCACUUUCAGCGGGGAGGAUGGCGGUUAGGUUAAUAACCUCAUCGAUUUACGUUACCCGCAGAAGAAGCACCUGCUCACUCCGUGCCACCAGCCGCGGUAAUACGGAGGGUGCAAGCGUUAAUCGGAAUUACUGGGCGUAAAGCGCACGCAGGCGGUCUGUCAAGUCGGAUGUGAAAUCCCCGGGCUCAGCCUGGGAACUGCAUUCGAAACUGGCAGGCUAGAGUCUUGUAGAGGGGGGUAGAAUUCCAGGUGUAGCGGUGAAAUGCGUAGAGAUCUGGAGGAAUACCGGUGGCGAAGGCGGCCCCCUGGACAAAGACUGACGCUCAGGUGCGAAAGCGUGGGGAGCA